rnacentral:sRNA from 1 species
UAACUUUCAAUAUUAACUUAUGUGGUGGU